AUUUCAGCUGUAGAGCAAUGACAGCAGGUUCGGACAUUUGGUACACGUACUUGGMUGAUCAGCCAGUGGUGCGAAGCUACCAUCCGUGAGAUUAUGCCUGAACGCCUCUAAGGCAGAAUCUCA
rnacentral:rRNA from 1 species